rnacentral:rRNA from 1 species
GACGAACGCUGGCGGCGUGCUUAAUACAUGCAAGUAGAACGCUGAAGGCGGGGCUUGCUCGUGUGGAUGAGUUGCGAACGGGUGAGUAACACGUGGGUAACCUGCCUGGUAGUUGGGGAUAACUCUUGGAAACGGUAGCUAAUACCGCAUAACAGUAGAUGUUGCAUGGCAUUUACUUGAAAGGUGCAAUUGCAUCACUACCAGAUGGACCUGCGUAGUAUUUGCUAGUUGGUGGGGUAGCGGCGCACCUAGGCGACGAGACAUAGCCGGCCUGAGAGGGGGGUGAGCCAGACUGGGACUGUGACACGGCACAGACGGCCUAGGGUGGCAGCAGAAGGGAAACUGGGGCAAUGGACGGAAGUCGGACCAGGCUGCGCCGCGGGAGGGAAGAGCGGUUUCGGGUCCUAAAGGUCGGUAGUAAGAGUAGAACGAGUUUGAGCCUGGAAAGUGGUUGCGGUGACGGUAUUGGGCAAAGAAGGGCCGGCUAACUACGUG